UACGGGGGGGGGCAAGCGUUGUUCGGAAUUACUGGGCGUAAAGGGCUCGUAGGCGGCCAACUAAGUCGGACGUGAAAUCCCUCGGCUUAACCGGGGAGCUGCGUCCGAUACUGGAUGGCUGGAGUUCGGGAGAGGGAUGCGGAAUUCCAGGUGUAGCGGUGAAAUGCGUAGAUAUCUGGAGGAACACCGGUGGCGAAGGCGGCAUCCUGGACCGACACUGACGCUGAGGAGCGAAAGCCAGGGGGAGCAAACGGG
rnacentral:rRNA from 1 species